AUCCUCAGAAUGAGCUGGCAGGAGGAAAAAGCAUCCAUGAGAACAGUGAUUCAAGGGUGCCAUGAGGUAGCAAGGAAAGCUGGAGAUACUGAAAGGGUGGAAUUAGAAGCAGACCACAUAGAGCUAGAAAGGAUGAGAUGAUAGAGAUCCGGAAAUGUCUGACUUUGCACAGCAUGACACAGAAAUGAACGAACACACACUUACUAUGGGUCUUCUAAGUCAGAUAAACCUUAUGAAAGAAUCAUAUAUUUUUUAAUAUGAACCAAUCAGUCUAAGAUUUGGGGACUAUAUCUGCAUCUAGGGUUAAGACACAUUGACACAUUGUCGCUAAAGAUAAAGAUAUGUCACUUCUUCCAGCUGUUUUUUUUUUCCUUUUUUCAGGGUAAUGUGGUGGUGUGUGGGGUCUCCAGCUACUGAAUGUAUCUGUAAACAUCAGAGGGAAAGCUUCUUGGAGACUAGCCCUUAAGUAGUGGAAUUACACAGUGUAACUUUGCUCUUUCUUUAUAAGAUUUGCCUACGUUAUUUAAGUAAUUAUGACUGAUAAAUGGACCAUCCCAUUCAUUUUUACUAAGAGAAUAAUAUACUUUAUCCUGGAUCAGGGAUGUUCUACACAUAGCCUUCCUCUCAUGAGUGCCUUCAUUUACCUGUUUUGACCCAUUGGUUCUGAAGAACCAGUAUUGGCAGCUCCAUGCAUGAAGAAUGUUCCAAUUUUGUUGCUGCCAAAAAAUGUAUAGGAAAUCAUGUUAGGGAAUGAGAUGACUUCCUGUAUGUGUUGAAUGAGAAGAAACCUUGGAUCUUUUUAAAGAAGACAAUGUACAUGUGCUUACCAAAAGGAAGCAGAGGGAAGAAAAGCUUAAAUGCUUCCGGGUCUCCUAUUUUUAUCUCCAUCCUAAUACUGGGAACUGAAGAGACCAAUUUACACCUGACUCAGAGCCAAGGACAGCGCUGGGUGCAGACAAAGGAAUAUUUGGGCAUGUUCUACUUUGUGCACACAGCUAUCAACAUCCACUAUUGA
rnacentral:lncRNA from 1 species